CUUCAAUGUCAAGAGAAGGGAAUGGGAGGCGGGACGCUAUUUCGCACCCCAGAAGCGCACCCUGGGCAAUAAAAUGGCUGUUGAAGAUAACAGGAAAGGCAGGGACGGCUUCUUUUUCUAGUCCUUUCCACUGUUUUCUUCCAGAAGUGGAGUUUCACCAACAACAACCAGAGCAUUUGCAAACCCUAAACAUCUUGAAUCCAUAAUUACAACCUGCAGACGGGACUGGACAAUAAAACAUUGGGGCCUGAGAUUUGGGGAAGCCUUC